GUUUAUUGAAACGAAAAUUUAACUCAGUGUGUAAGGCAGUGUGUGGCCCGCCAUUUUAUUUCGCGCUGUAAACGGAGUGUAAGAAAAAAUGGCUGACGCGGAAGAGUUCAUCGAAGAACUCGAUGUGGAAAAAAAUAUCCGUGGAGGAAGUCGAGUUGAUAGAAUUGCUCAACAGUUUUAGAAUUACUGAAGCUAUUAUUGAAGCCCUUCUUGUUAAUUCUUACACGAUUGAAACGCUAAAAGUGAUUCAGCGGCAAGAAAUCGAGCUGCUGAUUCUACCCCCGUCGCUUGCGGAGUGGACCAAAUUCAUUCAUCCAUUGGAUAUUUGGAGAACAGCGCAGGGGCUACCAAAAGUCCAAAAAGUUACAGCAAGUGGCAGCAGCUCUGCUUCGGUGCAAAAUACCAUUGUAAAGCCUUCUGAACCAAGGAUCACGUGGGAUUCAUGCACGGCCACCUAUUUGCUGAAAAACUCCUCGGAGGCACAAGCCAUCAUACGAAAAUACAGCCAAACACCGUUUCUCUCAAGAUCCGACAAAAUGUAUCACCCACUGAAUUUAAAAAUAUACGGUAAUAGAAGUUAUGAUCGUUUUUCUUAAUUUCAAAAUAAGAGCAAAAUAAAAUUUAGCGGGGUGGAGGGGGAGCAGAUCUGGGAUCAAUAAAAUCUUUAUUUAUUUCUAAUAAAAACAUUUUCAAAUUAAAAACCAAGUGUGAUUUAUUUCAAAAAUGUUAUGUUUUAUUUUAAAGCAAAAAUAUUGUUAUUUCGAAAGAAAAAAAUAUUGAAUCAAAAAUUAAUUUUGUUGAACCGCAUUGGACCCAGCUGUCAAAUUCAACAAUUAAUAUUUUUAAACUGAACUGCUUAUAGUUAUUAAAACAAUGAAAGGAUAUUAUAAGCCGGCAAAUAAUACAGAAAAAUGGUUGAAAUGAUACAGAUUUUUGUUGAUAUUAAAAAUGUUUUCGCUG